UACAGGGGGUGCAAGCGUUAUCCGGAUUCACUGGGUUUAAAGGGUGCGUAGGUGGGUUGGUAAGUCAGUGGUGAAAUCUCCGUGCUUAACAUGGAAACUGCCAUUGAUACUACUGAUCUUGAAUUUUCAGGAGGUAAGCGGAAUAUGUCAUGUAGCGGUGAAAUGCUUAGAUAUGACAUAGAACACCAAUUGCGAAGGCAGCUUACUACAGGAACAUUGACACUGAUGCACGAAAGCGUGGGGAUCAAACAGG
rnacentral:rRNA from 1 species